GUUCACUUCCUUAGCACAACAAUAAACUUAGAAGGAUACAGAUAUGAACAGGUCCCUGGCACAAGGGUGACAUGCAAUUCCUUGAAGCAUUCUAUAUUUUU
rnacentral:snRNA from 1 species